UUCUUCUUCUUCUUCCAGA
rnacentral:snRNA from 1 species